GACGAACGCUGGCGGCGUGCUUAACACAUGCAAGUCGAACGGUGAAGCGCCUUCCUUUUUGGUGGGUGUGGAUGAGUGGCGAACGGGUGAGUAACACGUGAGUAACCUGCCCCCUUCUUCUGGAUAACCGCAUGAAAGUGUGGCUAAUACGUGAUAUUCUGGGUCUGUCGCAUGAUGGGUCUGGGAAAGAUAUUGUUUCGGUGGGGGACGGGCUCGCGUCCUAUCAGCUUGUUGGGGGGGUGAUGGCCUACCAAGGGGGUGACGGGUAGCCGGCCUGAGAGGGUGGACGGUCACACUGGGACUGAGACACGGCCCAGACUCCUACGGGAGGCAGCAGUGGGGAAUAUUGCACAAUGGGCGCAAGCCUGAUGCAGCGACGCCGCGUGAGGGAUGGAGGCCUUCGGGUUGUGAACCUCUUUCGCCAGUGAAGCAGGCCUGCCUCGUUUGUGGGUGGGUUGACGGUAGCUGGAUAAGAAGCGCCGGCUAACUACGUG
rnacentral:rRNA from 1 species